UAACCCUUCCAUGUAAAAAAAUAUAUCUCAGAUAUAUAUGUGCAAUAAAACAUUAUGUAAAGGACAAUUACAGAUCAAAAUCGUUGUCCUCUACCAAAAUUAAAUGCAACAAAAACAUUUUUCCCUCUUUAUUUGUUCAACUGUUGUGUAUAUUGAAAAGUACAAUAAAAAUAUAUUAAUAAAACAGCUUAAAGUAUAUGCUGUUUGAUUUUUCUUAUCAGCGGAAUCAUUUCAAUUCCUGAAGUAAAAAAGAUGUGGAAGCAAGUAAUUCUGUUGUGUGUAUUAAUUACUGUGGUGAAUGCAAUUGCAUGUGGAAACUACUGUGCAACCCAUAAAUGCCCAAAACUACAAUGUAAAAAAGGACAAAUAGUAAUGAAAAGAGGUAGUUUCUGUGGAUGCUGCAAUACAUGUUACACAGUGUUAAAAGAAGGACAGAGUUGCUCCACGUUGCAUUUCAGAGGUGGUCCUCCCCCAACUUCUGGAUGUGAUAAAGGUUUAGAAUGUGAUCCAGAAACUAACAAGUGUGCCUAAAGAAAUCCACCAUAAAUAUGUGAAGACCAAGGAGAUAAAACGGCUUAUGUCUGUUUUUUUCUAUAAAUAUUUUUUCUAAGAUUGGAUUUCCAUCUGUUGCUUAUUGAGGAUUAUUAAGCUUUUAAGAAUCAAUACGGAGAAUAUAUGGUUAUCUCCGAGAUUUAUUACGUUAUGAAAAUGGGUCGUAUUGCAGAAAAACCCUUCCUUUCUAUGCGCAAAAUUAAUUUUUCUUCGAAUCAGCUUUAUGGACAUAAUCCAAUCUUCUGCUGUGAUGUUCAUGUGUCAAACAUGCAUUCAAAAUUCGCAAAAAUUCUUUUUACAAAAUUAUAAUACGUAGGUGGAUCAAAUAUGAAUUAGACUUUUUAAUAGCAGCAGAUGAUUUUUAUUUUCUUUGCUAUGGUUAUAAUGGAACUUUAUCUAGAGUCUAAAUAAUUGUCUGGCAGUAUUUAGUUCUUUUUAAGUCGUUUUUUUAGUAACUCGAAUCAUGAGUGAGAGUAACGUUCUUAGUUCAGUUACAUAACGCAUAAUAAGUAAAUUUUUAAUAAGAUAAAGUAUCGAACCGAUUGAAAUUUUGAGCAGAUUACAGACACAGCUAGGCAAUAACCGGAAUAUUUUGAACUUUUACGUUAGCUUUAGUACGUAAGUUUGAUUAAAACUAUGCAUGAUCACGUUUAUUCUAGAUGCUACUUAUCUUUACGUUGUGUUGGCGUGAUUCACUCUACAAAGACAAAGGUACAAGCACGCUGCUUCUAGCUGUUAAAUGUUGUUUUCUCUUUAAGCUUGCCUAUAAACAUGGACAUGGAAUGUGAUUUUAAAGAAAUGGAUUGAUUAAAUUUCGAAAUGAGUCGUGUGAUCUUACAGCAAUUGACUCAUUCAAUAAAAAGGUAAUUUAAUUGGUUUUUGUUUAACUUUAUGGUUGCCUAAUUGCACCAGUUCCACAAGAAACUAGAUAUAUUUUCGCUCUUUCAAAAUAAUAAAUUAUAUAUAUUUCAGCUAUGCAAUUUAGUAAAAAAGAAGUUCAAUAAUCAAUAAAAUUUCAAUAAUAUUUUUUAAAUAUUAUUAAUAAUAAAAUUGAUCUGGAUUCUUUAUAGCGGAAUUCAUCAAAAUCUAUAAUUUACCAAAUUUUUCUGCUCAUGGAACCACAGUUGUGUGUAGAGUAAAACAUCUUGAAUCGUAUACCACAGCAUUAAAGAUACAGACUACGUCCACUGUAAUUGUUUGUUUUGAUUUUGUGGUCGAAGUUAAAAUGAUAUUCCACUACGUUAGCGUUUUUACCUUACGGAUUUUUGUAAGAUCUUUUAUUUUCACUUGCGUAAGUUAGAUAUAUUUUCACGGGUGCAUGUGCAGUUCAAAAGAACUAACGCAUGUGCAACCGAAGGGCGCAUGAGCAAUUUCUUGAAAUCUUAAUAACGGGAAAUUACGGAAACUAACGUGAAUUUGAGAAAUCUCCCUAAUACUCUGACGAGGGUUCAAGUAUGCAAAUGGCAUAAGUUAUUUAAACAAGACCAUGAAGAAGUUAAAAACUUGUCUCAUGCGGACCCACUGAGUGCUCUUUCAACAAUGCGACUCCCCAUAAGGCCCCAGUAAUACAAAAGUUACACCGGGAAACAGUUAAACAUCCUCCAUAUAGCCUGAACCUUGCACCUUCAGACAACCAUUUGUUUGAACCCAAUAAAUAAGCCUUUGGGGGAGAAAGAUUUUUAUCCAAUGAAAAGAUUUUGUGCUCAAUUCUUUACUGCGCGGCAUACUUUUUUCUAUGUCACCGGGAUAAAAAAAAAAUUCAAAGACGUUGAAAAAAAUAAUUUAAAUAGACAUUAGAGCAAGGCUCUUCGUUAGGUGAUGGGCAUUUCGGUUAGGCUGUGGUUGAGUUGUGUUGUAUGAAAUGAGCGUGGCUUACUUAGUUUAUCAGGUUAUUUAACGUAUCGUAAGAGAUUGGAAAUACUAGACAUUUUGUGUUGUUUAUGAUGCUGCCAUCUCUGCGUGAAUGAAAAUAUCGUAUUAUUAUAGUUCAGGGUCAAGCAUUGGGAAGUGAGGGAUGCUGGAAGCUCUUCAUGUGCUAAAAAGAUUGGAGAAAAUAUUGCGGUGUCAACGCAGGAACUGUUGGUUAUGGGGUUCUGCUGGUCAUAAGGUUCUGUUGGUCAUGAGGUUGACAUAUUCGCUCUCUCGGCUAUAACAUGCACCCAGCUGCAAGGAACUAAGAGGCUUCAUUAGUUGAUGCAAUAAAAUUUUGGUUACAUAAACGUAUUAGGAGAAAGUAGUUAAACUGUUUUUCUCACAGUUAACAGUUUGAAUACCAUCAUAUUAAGGGGCAUUUGACUGAUUUGUUUGAAUAUGGUAAAAUGACAAUUAAAUAAAUUAUUUAACCAUUUUCCCCGAGAAAUUUCUUAUGGUGUAGCAAUCAUACAUGCCGAAAAUAAAUAAAUACUUAGUUAAUGUGUUUCAAUGACAGUUUUUAAAACAUGGUCAAUUUCACAGACAUAUAUAUGGCCUUGCAGACAAACAUGUAGUCUUUUUCAUAGACGUAUUGGAUAAGCUAUAUUGAAAUUUGCAAAUCUGACUUCAUAUUCGUAAUUAGUGACCCUGUGGCAGCGCGUUGGACCAACGUUCGUGAUAAUAGGAGUUUGAAUCUAGAAGGCGGAAGACUCCCCAUGUAGUAAAUGGUGACUGGUGCACGUUAAAUCUGAUGGGACACGAAGUUUUCCAUGUUCCUGUAACAAAUUCUGCUUCUAGGGAUACUGAAUUGGAGGCUGAUCGUUCUCUGGUUCAGGUCAAAAUUACGCUCUGUGGAUGAAAGAAGGGAUAUCAAUGGGUCCUAUAAACGUGUGUGAUGUAUGGGUGCGGUAAAAGUCGAAUUCUUUGGCAUAGAUGGCGCCAUUGGAAAACAAGAAAAAUCACACCCUUUGCCUAAAUAGCCUACGUCUACAAGAGCAAAGCCUAUGAAUUUUAUAAAAUGCUGUUUAUCAAAAUAUAUAUGUUAGACUUAAGCUUGUCUUUUCUUCAAUUCAGGCUACUGUGUGACAACUACGGCGUCGCUCGCAAACUUUGAUUGCAAUGAUUUACAGUUUCGCCAGCUGGUGGUGUUAAGAAAUUGCCACUUGCGAUGCUGGUUCUAAUCAAUAUAACUCAGUGCUUGCAAAAUAUUAAAAAAGGGUUAUGGAAUUAUUCCAAAUGGACACGUAGAAUCCUUUCACAACGUGAAUUGACAGAAUGAUUAUAACUAAAUCAAAAAAUUCCUUUUCAAAAUUCGUUGUAUCAUUCAAAUAAAUUAUAUUAUCAUAAUUAAUAUGCUUCUCACAUUCAACUUGUUUGUUUAAUCAGCUUAUCCAGACUUUUGAAACUCCCAAACUAUUCAUUUAAAGGUGUUGCAAACUUUCUAAAAAUGCUUUCAUACUCGUUUCAUCUAUGAGAAGACAUUACCUUUUGAAACCAGUAUUCAAAGAAUAAAAAUGUGGAAAGAAUUAGUUUUCCUCGCAGCAAUAAUCUCAGUUGUGUAUUGUCAAUUGUGUGGAGAUAUUUGUAGCCGCAGUAAAUGUCAAAAGCCUGUCUGUGAAGAAGGAAAAGUAAUAAAAGAAAAAGGUGGCUAUUGCGGCUGCUGUGACGUUUGUGUACCAGAAAAUAAAGAAAACUGUAUCACGAUAGUUUUCAUGGGACUUCCCGAGUGCAUUUACAUAAAUAAACAGACAACCACGCCCAAACCAGUACACACCAGGUUGAAGAGACAAAAAUCUUUUUGCCCUGGAUCACAGCCUGGAGCCAUUUGCAGGAUAGAUUAGAAAUUUGAACAUUGGAACAUUAAAAAGAAUCACUUAAAAUGUUUUUCUUUUGACUGUAAUGGCAUUAUUUUGCUUCAUGUGCUACUGUCCUAAAAUGUGAAGCCAAGGUUCAUUAAUGUAAUUUAGGAAAUCCAAACUUUGUAAUACUUUUGUGUAUACUAAUGUGAAGACAAAAUUUAAUUUUACUGUAUUACUAGUUUGUUGAAUGUUUUAUCAAUAAAGACUGGAUUAGAAUUACUUACAAUUUUAAUGAUUAAAACAAAACUAUUGCCAUACAUGAAAUUAAAAUGCAUUCGCUGUUAAACACUGGGUGUUUAACAACAAAAAUCAACACAAAAUGGGAAAAUAUUUUCUCCGUGACUUUUUUCCGAUUUUGUUUACUUAAGUAAAUACUUAGUAAAAUAUUUUAAUUGCAGAAAACAAAGACUGUAAAUCGGCAUAUAUCCUUUGUUUAUUUCUAUAAAUUUGUAACCGACAGCCAUGCCCUAGUCAGUACACACUAGGAGAAAAAGACAAAAUCCCCAUUGUCCUUUAUAAAUUGAAAAUUUGAGCAUUCCAACACUAAGGAGAGAGUCACGUAAUUAUUUUUUCCUUUUGCCAAGAAAGCGCCAUGUUGCUUUAUGCGUUACUGUUCCAAAAUAUGACGCCAAGAUACUUUAAUGAGAUUUAGAAAGUUCAAAUUUUGUUAUGUGUGAAUACAAAGCUAAAACUUACUAGAUUUCAUGUUUCACGAAUUUGUUUUUAAUCAAUAGAGACAUUAGGUAAUUACUUAAAUGAUUAAGAAAAACAGAAUUAUCACCUAUGAAAUGAAAAUAUAUUCGGCCUCAUACACUUAAUGUUAUAUAUAAAAAAAAUAAUACAAUAAUGAGAAAGAAAUUUCUUCUCUGACUUUUCACACUUUUGUUCACUUAAGUAAUUGCUUGAUGAAAUAUUUUUAAUUGCAGAAAGCAAAGAAAACUGUAUACCGAUCGUUAUCCUGGGACUUCCUCAGUGCAUUUAUAUAAAUAGACAGACAACCACACCCAAUCCAGUACACACCAGGUUGAAAAGACAAAAACCUUUUUGUCCUGGUUCACAGUUUGGAGCCAUUUGCAGAAUAGAUUAAGAAUUUGAACGUUGAAACUUUAAAAAGAAUCCCUUAAAAUAUUUUUCUUUUGACGGUAAUAACAUUAUUUUGCUUCAUGUGUAACUAUUCUAAAUGUAGAGCCAAGGUUCAUUAAUCUAGGAAAUCCGAAUUUUGUAAUACUUUUGUGUAAUACUUUUGUGUAUACUAAUGUGAAUACAAAAUUAAAUUUUACUGUAUUUAGUUUGUUGAAUGCUUCCUCAAUAAAGACUGGAUUAGAAUUGCAA